GGAGAGGUGUCCGAGCGGCCGAAGGAGCACGACUGGAAAUCGUGUGUACGUUGACGCGUACCGAGAGUUCAAAUCUCUCCCUCUCCGCCA
rnacentral:tRNA from 1 species